ensembl:misc_RNA 7SK 7SK RNA
AGGUAUGAGGGUGAUCUUGCUGCAACAUCUAUCACCCCACUGAUUGCCAGAGUUGAUUUGGCUGAUCUGGCUGUCCUCUUCCCUCACUGCUCCAUGUGCAUCUCUCCCAAAGCUAUGAGCUCAGUGGAAGAGGAUGACCUUCUCUGAUAGAGGAGAAGAUAGACCUUUCUUUGGUCAAGGGUAUACGAGUAGCUUUGCUCCCCUCCUAGAACCUCAAAUAAACAAAGUCCAUCUGUAGGAGAAUAUAGGGUAGUCAAGCUUCCAAGACUUCAGACACACCUAUAUGAGGUGAUGUGUGUGGCAGUCUGCCUUUCUUA